rnacentral:rRNA from 1 species
CCUACGGGUGGCUGCAGUGGGGAAUAUUGGACAAUGGGCGAAAGCCUGAUCCAGCCAUGCCGCGUGUGUGAAGAAGGCCUUCGGGUUGUAAAGCACUUUCAGUGGGGAAGAAAGCCUUGGGGCUAAUACCCUCGAGGAAGGACAUCACCCACAGAAGAAGCACCGGCUAACUCCGUGCCAGCAGCCGCGGUAAUACGGAGGGUGCGGGCGUUAAUCGGAAUUACUGGGCGUAAAGCGCGCGUAGGCGGUCUGAUAAGCCGGUUGUGAAAGCCCCGGGCUCAACCUGGGAACGGCAUCCGGAACUGUCAGGCUAGAGUGCAGGAGAGGAAGGUAGAAUUCCCGGUGUAGCGGUGAAAUGCGUAGAGAUCGGGAGGAAUACCAGUGGCGAAGGCGGCCUUCUGGACUGACACUGACGCUGAGGUGCGAAAGCGUGGGUAGCAAACAGGAUUAGAUACCCUAGUAGUC